UUGGAAGGACGAUCUUGAGCAGGAAGGGU
rnacentral:piRNA from 2 species